AUACGGAGGAUGCGAGCGUUAUCCGGAUUUAUUGGGUUUAAAGGGUGCGUAGGCUGUGCGUUAAGUCAGGGGUGAAAUGCCGUCGCUCAACGACGGAGCUGCCCUUGAUACUGGCGUGCUGGAGUACGGAUGCCGUUGGAGGAAUGAGUGGUGUAGCGGUGAAAUGCUUAGAUAUCACUCAGAACACCGAUUGCGAAGGCAUCUGACGAAUCCGUCACUGACGCUGAGGCACGAAAGCGUGGGGAUAGAACAGGAUUAGAUACCCUGGUAUUCCACGCCGUAAACGAUGAUGACUAACCGUCGGCGAUAGACAGCCGGUGGCCAAGGGAAAGCGAUAAGUCAUCCACCUGGGGAGUACGUCGGCAACGAUGAAACUCAAAUGAAUUGACGGGG
rnacentral:rRNA from 1 species